GGUUUGUCGCGUUGUUCGUGAAAUCUCACGGCUUAACUGUGAGCGUGCGGGCGAUACGGGCAGACUUGAGUACUGCAGGGGAGACUGGAAUUCCUGGUGUAGCGGUGGAAUGCGCAGAUAUCAGGAGGAACACCGGUGGCGAAGGCGGGUCUCUGGGCAGUAACUGACGCUGAGGAGCGAAAGCGUGGGGAGCGAACAGGAUUAGAUACCCUGGUAGUCCACGCCGUAAACGGUGGGUACUAGGUGUGGGUUUCCUUCCUUGGGAUCCGUGCCGUAGCUAACGCAUUAAGUACCCCGCCUGGGGAGUACGGCCGCAAGGCUAAAACUCAAAGAAAUUGACGGGGGCCCGCACAAGCGGCGGAGCAUGUGGAUUAAUUCGAUGCAACGCGAAGAACCUUACCUGGGUUUGACAUGCACAGGACGCCGGCAGAGAUGUCGGUUCCCUUGUGGCCUGUGUGCAGGUGGUGCAUGGCUGUCGUCAGCUCGUGUCGUGAGAUGUUGGGUUAAGUCCCGCAACGAGCGCGACCCUUGUCUCAUGUUGCCAGCGGGUAAUGCCGGGGACUCGUGAGAGACUGCCGGGGUCAACUCGGAGGAAGGUGGGGAUGACGUCAAGUCAUCAUGCCCCUUAUGUCCAGGGCUUCACACAUGCUACAAUGGCCGGUACAAAGGGCUGCGAUGCCGCGAGGUUAAGCGAAUCCUUUUAAAGCCGGUCUCAGUUCGGAUCGGGGUCUGCAACUCGACCCCGUGAAGUCGGAGUCG
rnacentral:rRNA from 1 species